GAGUUUGAUCCUGGCUCAGAUUGAACGCUGGCGGCAGGCUUAACACAUGCAAGUCGAACGGUAACAUGAGUGCUUGCACUUGAUGACGAGUGGCGGACGGGUGAGUAAUGUAUGGGGAUCUGCCGAAUGGAGGGGGACAACAGUUGGAAACGACUGCUAAUACCGCAUAAAGUUGAGAGACCAAAGCAUGGGACCUUCGGGCCAUGCGCCAUUUGAUGAACCCAUAUGGGAUUAGCUAGUUGGUAGGGUAAUGGCUUACCAAGGCGACGAUCUCUAGCUGGUCUGAGAGGAUGACCAGCCACACUGGAACUGAGACACGGUCCAGACUCCUACGGGAGGCAGCAGUGGGGAAUAUUGCACAAUGGGGGGAACCCUGAUGCAGCCAUGCCGCAUGUAUGAAGAAGGCCUUCGGGUUGUAAAGUACUUUCGGUGAUGAGGAAGGUAGCGUAUCUAAUAGGUACGUUAAUUGACGUUAAUUACAGAAGAAGCACCGGCUAACUCCGUGCCAGCAGCCGCGGUAAUACGGAGGGUGCGAGCGUUAAUCGGAAUGACUGGGCGUAAAGGGCAUGUAGGCGGAUAAUUAAGUUAGGUGUGAAAGCCCUGGGCUCAACCUAGGAAUUGCACUUAAAACUGGUUAACUAGAGUAUUGUAGAGGAAGGUAGAAUUCCACGUGUAGCGGUGAAAUGCGUAGAGAUGUGGAGGAAUACCGGUGGCGAAGGCGGCCUUCUGGACAGAUACUGACGCUGAGAUGCGAAAGCGUGGGGAGCAAGCAGGAUUAGAUACCCUGGUAGUCCACGCUGUAAACGAUGUCGAUUUGGAGUUUGUUGCCUAGAGUGAUGGGCUCCGAAGCUAACGCGAUAAAUCGACCGCCUGGGGAGUACGGCCGCAAGGUUAAAACUCAAAUGAAUUGACGGGGGCCCGCACAAGCGGUGGAGCAUGUGGUUUAAUUCGAUGCAACGCGAAGAACCUUACCUGGUCUUGACAUCCACAGAAUCUUGCAGAGAUGCGGGAGUGCCUUCGGGAACUGUGAGACAGGUGCUGCAUGGCUGUCGUCAGCUCGUGUUGUGAAAUGUUGGGUUAAGUCCCGCAACGAGCGCAACCCUUAUCCUUUGUUGCCAUCGGUUAGGCCGGGAACUCAAAGGAGACUGCCGUUGAUAAAGCGGAGGAAGGUGGGGACGACGUCAAGUCAUCAUGGCCCUUACGACCAGGGCUACACACGUGCUACAAUGGCGUAUACAAAGGGAGGCGA
rnacentral:rRNA from 1 species